GACGAACGCUGGCGGCGUGCCUAAUACAUGCAAGUCGAACGCAGUGGGGACGGGUGAGUAACACGUGGGUAACCUCCCAUCAGAGGGGAUAACACUUGGAAACAGGUGCUAAACCGAUACUGAUGGAUGGACCCGCGGUGCAUUAGCUAGUUGGUGAGGUAACGGCUCACCAAGGCCACGAUGCAUAGCCGAUGUGAGGGGGGGACGUGCAACACUGGGACUGGGCAACGGCCAAGACUCUUAGGGGAGGCAGGGGUAGGGAAUCUGUGGAAAGGUCCGAAAGUCUGCCGGGGCAACCCCGUGGGAGUAAAGAGGGUUUUGGGAUCGAAAAACUUUGUUGUUAAAGAAGCGGUAUCUAACCAGAAAGCCACGGCUAACUACGUGCCAGCAGCCGUGGU
rnacentral:rRNA from 1 species